rnacentral:rRNA from 1 species
UACGGGAGGCAGCAGUGGGGAAUAUUGGACAAUGGGCGCAAGCCUGAUCCAGCCAUGCCGCGUGUGUGAAGAAGGCCUUCGGGUUGUAAAGCACUUUUGUCCGGAAAGAAAAGCUUAGGGUUAAUAACCUUGAGUCAUGACGGUACCGGAAGAAUAAGCACCGGCUAACUUCGUGCCAGCAGCCGCGGUAAUACGAAGGGUGCAAGCGUUACUCGGAAUUACUGGGCGUAAAGCGUGCGUAGGUGGUUUUGUUAAGUCUGAUGUGAAAGCCCUGGGCUCAACCUGGGAAUGGCAUUGGAAACUGGCUUACUAGAGUGCGGUAGAGGGGUGUGGAAUUCCCGGUGUAGCAGUGAAAUGCGUAGAUAUCGGGAGGAACAUCUGUGGCGAAAGGCGACACCCUGGGACCAGCACUGACACUGAGCACGAAAGCGUGGGGAGCAAACAGGAUUAGAUACC